ensembl:snRNA U6 U6 spliceosomal RNA
UGCUCACUUCCACAGCACUACACUCAAUGUGGAAAGAUACAGGAAGGUCAGCCUGCGCCCUGUGCAAGGAUGCCAUGCAAAUUCAGGAGGUGUUCCGUAUUUUU